GGCCGCUAUGGAACAGGUCGCUAGCGAUCUGCUAGCACUCGGACGCAAGGGCUAUAUCGUGCCUGGCGGUGGUUCAAACGCCAUUGGCGGUCUC
rnacentral:tRNA from 1 species